AUUUGUUUGAAAGACCCCCGGAGUGGGGAGGCCCUCACUCAAGUCUCAGGAUGACGUGACCCCCCAAGAACUCACGUAAGACG
rnacentral:pre_miRNA from 14 species